GCCGGGUGUGGUGGCAUGUGCCUGUAAUCCAAGUCACUGGGAGGCUGAGGUUUGUGGAUCAAGUGAGCUGAGGAGCUCUGGGCUGCUGCACACUAUGUUGAACGGGUGUCCACCCUAAGUUCGGUAUCGAUAUGGUGUUCCAGGGGGAGCCCGGGACCACCAGGUUGUCUAAGGAGGGGUGAACCGGCCCAGGUCGGAAACGAAGCAGGUCAAAUCCCCCGUGCUGUCCAGUAGUUGGAUAAUACCUGUGAGUAGAUGCUGCAGUGCAGCCUUGGCAAAACAUCGAGACCUAAUCAUUU
ensembl:misc_RNA Metazoa_SRP Metazoan signal recognition particle RNA